rnacentral:rRNA from 1 species
GACGAACGCUGGCGGCGUGCUUAACACAUGCAAGUCGAACGGAAAGGCCCUGCUUUUGUGGGGUGCUCGAGUGGCGAACGGGUGAGUAACACGUGAGUAACCUGCCCUUGACUUUGGGAUAACUUCAGGAAACUGGGGCUAAUACCGGAUAGGAGCUCCUGCUGCAUGGUGGGGGUUGGAAAGUUUCGGCGGUUGGGGAUGGACUCGCGGCUUAUCAGCUUGUUGGUGGGGUAGUGGCUUACCAAGGCUUUGACGGGUAGCCGGCCUGAGAGGGUGACCGGCCACAUUGGGACUGAGAUACGGCCCAGACUCCUACGGGAGGCAGCAGUGGGGAAUAUUGCACAAUGGGCGGAAGCCUGAUGCAGCAACGCCGCGUGCGGGAUGACGGCCUUCGGGUUGUAAACCGCUUUCGCCUGUGACGAAGCGUGAGUGACGGUAAUGGGUAAAGAAGCACCGGCUAACUACGUGCCAGCAGCCGCGGUGAUACGUAGGGUGCGAGCGUUGUCCGGAUUUAUUGGGCGUAAAGGGCUCGUAGGUGGUUGAUCGCGUCGGAAGUGUAAUCUUGGGGCUUAACCCUGAGCGUGCUUUCGAUACGGGUUGACUUGAGGAAGAUAGGGGAGAAUGGAAUUCCUGGUGGAGCGGUGGAAUGCGCAGAUAUCAGGAGGAACACCAGUGGCGAAGGCGGUUCUCUGGGCCUUUCCUGACGCUGAGGAGCGAAAGCGUGGGGAGCGAACAGGCUUAGAUACCCUGGUAGUCCACGCUGUAAACGGUGGGUACUAGGUGUGGGGUCCAUUCCACGGGUUCCGUGCCGUAGCUAACGCUUUAAGUACCCCGCCUGGGGAGUACGGCCGCAAGGCUAAAACUCAAAGGAAUUGACGGGGCCCCGCACAAGCGGCGGAGCAUGCGGAUUAAUUCGAUGCAACGCGUAGAACCUUACCUGGGUUUGACAUGGAUCGGGAGCGCUCAGAGAUGGGUGUGCCUCUUUUGGGGUCGGUUCACAGGUGGUGCAUGGCUGUCGUCAGCUCGUGUCGUGAGAUGUUGGGUUAAGUCCCGCAACGAGCGCAACCCUUGUUCACUGUUGCCAGCACGUUAUGGUGGGGACUCAGUGGAGACCGCCGGGGUCAACUCGGAGGAAGGUGGGGAUGACGUCAAGUCAUCAUGCCCCUUAUGUCCAGGGCUUCACGCAUGCUACAAUGGCUGGUACAGAGAGUGGCGAGCCUGUGAGGGUGAGCGAAUCUCGGAAAGCCGGUCUCAGUUCGGAUUGGGGUCUGCAACUCGACCUCAUGAAGUCGGAGUCGCUAGUAAUCGCAGAUCAGCAACGCUGCGGUGAAUACGUUCCCGGGGCU